GACGAGCGCUGGCGGCGUGCUUAACACAUGCAAGUCGAACGGAAAGGCCCUGCUUGCAGGGUACUCGAGUGGCGAACGGGUGAGUAACACGUGGGUGAUCUGCCCUGCACUUCGGGAUAAGCUUGGGAAACUGGGUCUAAUACCGGAUAGGAGCCAUCUUUAGUGUGGUGGUUGGAAAGUUUUUUCGGUGUAGGAUGAGCUCGCGGCCUAUCAGCUUGUUGGUGGGGUAAUGGCCUACCAAGGCGGCGACGGGUAGCCGGCCUGAGAGGGUGUACGGCCACAUUGGGACUGAGAUACGGCCCAGACUCCUACGGGAGGCAGCAGGGGGGAAUAUUGCACAAUGGGCGCAAGCCUGAUGCAGCGACGCCGCGUGGGGGAUGAAGGCCUUCGGGUUGUAAACUCCUUUCGCUAGGGACGAAGCUUUUUUGUGACGGUACCUAGAUAAGAAGCACCGGCUAACUACGUG
rnacentral:rRNA from 1 species